rnacentral:rRNA from 1 species
UACAACAUAGAGUUAAUGUACUAUAUCCCAUUAGAACUCCGUAGUUAAGCACUCUCAGGAUAGAGUAGUACUGGGAUGGGUGACCACCUGGGAAGUCCUAGUGUUUUAA